rnacentral:rRNA from 1 species
AUUGAACGCUGGCGGCAGGCCUAACACAUGCAAGUCGAGCGGAUGAAGGGAGCUUGCUCCUGGAUUCAGCGGCGGACGGGUGAGUAAUGCCUAGGAAUCUGCCUGGUAGUGGGGGAUAACGUCCGGAAACGGGCGCUAAUACCUCAUACGUCCUGAGGGAGAAAGUGGGGGAUCUUCGGACCUCACGCUAUCAGAUGAGCCUAGGUCGGAUUAGCUAGUUGGUGGGGUAAAGGCCUACCAAGGCGACGAUCCGUAACUGGUCUGAGAGGAUGAUCAGUCACACUGGAACUGAGACACGGUCCAGACUCCUACGGGAGGCAGCAGUGGGGAAUAUUGGACAAUGGGCGAAAGCCUGAUCCAGCCAUGCCGCGUGUGUGAAGAAGGUCUUCGGAUUGUAAAGCACUUUAAGUUGGGAGGAAGGGCAGUAAGUUAAUACCUUGCUGUUUUGACGUUACCAACAGAAUAAGCACCGGAUAACUUCGUG